GAUGAACGCUGGCGGCGUGCUUAACACAUGCAAGUCGAACGAUGACCCCGUGCUUGCACGGGUGAUUAGUGGCGAACGGGUGAGUAACACGUGAGUAACCUGCCCCCGACUUUGGGAUAAGCCCGGGAAACUGGGUCUAAUACCGGAUAUGACUUCUUACCGCAUGGUGGGUUGUUGAAAGAUUUAUCGGUGGGGGAUGGACUCGCGGCCUAUCAGCUUGUUGGUGAGGUAAUGGCUCACCAAGGCGACGACGGGUAGCCGGCCUGAGAGGGUGACCGGCCACACUGGGACUGAGACACGGCCCAGACUCCUACGGGAGGAGGCAGUGGGGAAUAUUGCGCAAUGGGCGAAAGCCUGAUGCAGCGACGCCGCGUGAGGGAUGACGGCCUUCGGGUUGUAAACCUCUUUCAGUAGGGAAGAAGCGAAAGUGACGGUACCUGCAGAAGAAGCGCCGGCUAACUACG
rnacentral:rRNA from 1 species